CUCAACACAGCUACAUACUAUUUAGAGUUCAGGUACUUGCGUAGUUGCACCGAUGUCAAUACGUUACCACAACAACGGGGGAAGAAGACCACCUGAACUCUUUUUUUUCUGUAAUACGCGGAAUGUGCUUAAGCCACUCUAUUCCACAGCCAUCUUCGUACGUUGAUCAGCUACGUACAAUGGAAACAUGCAAUUAAGCAUGGUAACUGGUAAGCAUCCAACUAACAACCUGCAACGAGAAAGAUGGCACGAGCAUAUGCUAGCCAUCGCGGCUUCAAUUCUGCACGACCGUAUAGCCUGCCGCUGUGCACCGAGUAGUGGGGCGAGAGGCCUCUGCCGGCGGCGCGGCAGUGGCAGUGGAAGGCCACGAGCUGGAGCAGCUCGCCUGCGCUGCGCGGUCGAGGAGGAAGACGUAGAGCGCCCCGCAGACGGCAGCCACGUGCGGGAACGGCGCGAUGAGGUGGAGGAGCAGGGCGGCGACGAGGAAGACGGGCCAGAAGGCGAUCGCUCUGGUGACCACGCUGACGCGCUCGCUCUGGUGGUAGGCGCCAUCGCCGUAGAAGAAGAGCACGUCGUGCUUCUCGAGGUCGAGGAGGCGGCUGCGAGGC
rnacentral:misc_RNA from 1 species